rnacentral:rRNA from 2 species
UACGAAGGGGGCUAGCGUUGCUCGGAAUUACUGGGCGUAAAGGGCGCGUAGGCGGACAGUUUAGUCAGAGGUGAAAGCCCAGGGCUCAACCUUGGAAUUGCCUUUGAUACUGGCUGUCUUGAGUUCGGGAGAGGUGAGUGGAAUGCCGAGUGUAGAGGUGAAAUUCGUAGAUAUUCGGCGGAACACCAGUGGCGAAGGCGACUCACUGGCCCGAUACUGACGCUGAGGCGCGAAAGCGUGGGGAG